rnacentral:rRNA from 1 species
GACUCCUUGAGAGUCCUGAAGGAACGUUGAAGACGACGACGUUGAUAGGCCGGGUGUGUAAGCGCAGCGAUGCGUUGAGCUAACCGGUACUAAUGAACCGUGAGGCUUAACCUUACAACGCCGAAG